rnacentral:rRNA from 1 species
UGGGGAAUCUUGGACAAUGGGCGAAAGCCUGAUCCAGCCAUGCCGCGUGAGUGACGAAGGUCUUCGGAUUGUAAAGCUCUUUUGGCGGGGACGAUAAUGACGGUACCCGCAGAAUAAGCCCCGGCUAACUUCGUGCCAGCAGCCGCGGUAAUACGAAGGGGGCUAGCGUUGUUCGGAUUUACUGGGCGUAAAGCGCGUGUAGGCGGGUCGUUAAGUUGGGGGUGAAAUCCCGAGGCUCAACCUCGGAACUGCCUUCAAAACUGGCGACCUGGACUCAAGCAGAGGCAAGUGGAAUUGCGAGUGUAGAGGUGAAAUUCGUAGAUAUUCGCAGGAACACCAGUGGCGAAGGCGACUUGCUGGGCUUGUAGUGACGCUGAGACGCGAAAGCGUGGGGAGCAAACAGGAUUAGAUACCCACGUAGUCCCUGAGCGGGCUGGCAAGGCGCAU